GACGAACGCUGGCGGCGUGCUUAACACAUGCAAGUCGAACGGAAAGGCCCUGCUUGCAGGGUGCUCGAGUGGCGAACGGGUGAGUAACACGUGGGUGAUCUGCCCCUUACGUGGGGAUAAGCCUGGGAAACUGGGCCUAAUACUGGAUAGGACCAUGCUGUAGGUGGUGUGGUGGAAAGAUUAGUUUCGGUAAGGGAUGAGCUCGCGGCCUAUCAGCUUGUUGGUGGGGUAAUGGCCUACCAAGGCGUCGACGGGUAGCCGGCCUGAGAGGGUGGACGGCCACAUUGGGACUGAGAUACGACCCAGACUCCUACGGGAGGCAGCAGUGGGGAAUAGUGCACAAUGGGCGCAAGCCUGAUGCAGCGACGCCGCGUGGGGGAUGACGGACUUCGGGUUGUAAGCUCCGUGCAGCCAUGACGAAGCUCUUGUGGUGACGUUAGUGGUAGAAGAAGCACCGGCUAACUACGUG
rnacentral:rRNA from 1 species